UAUCCUUUAUUUACGCUGAUCUUAUUACCAGAGAUAAUAAUUCCAUGUAACAGAACUUUUAAAUAUAAAUUUCAAAUACAUAAGUACCAUUAUCCAUUUGUUUAAAUUAUUUAACUUUCUAAAAUGUUUAUUCAAUCAUCAAAUAUAGUCAUUACAAAUUUCUAAAUCUUAUCAUAUAUGUAAACCAGUAUGAAAACUUUCUAGUUGUGCUAUCAGUCAUCUUGGUUAUUUCAAAACAUGGAUAUGACCGAUAUGUAUUUAGAAAAACAACUUGUCCAUGAUGAUAUGCUUACUUUGAAUUGUUGCGAACCAUUUUUAAUUUCUGGCAAACAGUUAUUAGUGCAAGCCAUGUAUUUUCAAUACAAUACACCAGUUCAAUUAUCACAAAAUGAAACAAUUAACUUUUUUUUUUACCUAGAAAAACAAGAUUCACUAACCCAAAAAUAAAUUAUUUUAAUAGAUCAAUGGAGUUGGUUAUAGUAUUUAGCGUUAAUAAAUCCUUGUAUCCAAGACAACAACAGGCACUUAUUUUAUAAAGGUAACAAACAACAACAGUCUAUCACAAACAAUAAUCUUUUAACAUUAUAACCUAUGUCUUAUAUCAUAGGGGUCAAGUCUGAUAUAUUGUUCUAUCUAAUAUUAGAAUUUCCCUUUAAAGACUGAAACCCGUGCCUACUGGUAUGAAAAAAAAACCUCCCAAUAGCAGAAACAAACUUACACUCCUGCACUAUUACAUAAUUAAAAGUAUUUAUUUUUUCAGUAAAACAUCACAAAUAAUUAUCAUAAGUUUGGUUAAAUUGGUCUCAGAAGUUUCAGAAAAGACAUUUGACAGAUUACAAAAAAAAUAUGUAAAUUUACUUUAAAGGACAAUAACUCCUUAAGGAUUCAAUUGAUCAUUAUGGUCAUGUUGACUAAAUUAUAGAACAAUAUUGCUGUUUACAGUUUAUUACUAUCUAUGAUUAAAUUCAUGAUAACCAAACACUGCAAAAUUUCCUAAAAUAUUGCCAAUUGAGGAGCAGCAACCCAACAACGGUCCGAAAAUUUCAGGGCAGAUAAAUCUUGAACUGAUAAUCAAUUCUACCCAAUGUCAGAUUUACUCUAAAUGCUAUGGUUUCAAAGAUAUAAGCCAAAAUCUACAUUAAACCCCUAUGUUCUGUUUUUAGCUAUGGCGGCCAUCUUGGUUGGUUGUCUGGGUUUAACAUAUUUUAAACUAGAUACCCCAAAGAUGAUUGUGGCCAAGUUUGGUUAAAUUUUGCCCAGUAGUUUCAGAGGAGAAGAUUUGUGUAAAAGUUAUCGGACAAUGGACACACAGUGAUGAGAAAAGCUCACUUGGCCCUGUUGGCCAGGCGAUCUAAAAAGGGAUUUCUUCCACUUUGAUUUGGAUAUUUGAUGCAUGCCUUUGUCUGUUUUUAAGGAAACAAAUGACAGAAAAUAAAGUGUUAAAAAGUAUCUUAAUUCUAGAAGCUGUUAUAAUGGUCCUUAUUGUUAACAUCAAAAGAUCUGAAUUGCCUCCCUUACACCACUGUAGAAGGGUUGAAAAUUAGUUGGUUUUAUACAUUUAAAACUGUCCACCAUAAACAUGAUAAACUUGUUUUGCCCUGCAAUAUAAGGCAGAAUUUCUAGUAACAGGAAAUGCUACUUAUUUUUGUUUACAGUUUGUUGAUUCUUCUUUUGAACUUCACUAGUAUGAAAAAUGCAUUACAAAUAAUUGAGAUUGCCACCAAAAGUGUUAUUUUCUUUUUAAAUAUUUGGGCUAGUUUAUACAUCUUAACAACUCAUUUUACAAAUGUUUUAGUUUUGCUUUUUUUUGGGGGGUCAAAAUCAAACAUUUGCAAUUGCUUUCAUUCUGAUACAAUGUUUUAUAGUAAAAUGUGAAUAAAUGUUUUGACAUUACUUUUUGGAAGAUUUUGUAUUAGAUUGUCAUGAUUAUGCAAUGAAUAAUACUUUGGUUAAAUU
rnacentral:lncRNA from 1 species